AAGUAUAGAGGUCCAGCCUGCCCAGUGAGCCCAUUUUAAACGGCCGCGGUAUCCUAACCGUGCAAAGGUAGCAUAAUCACUUGCCUCCUAAUUAGAGACUAGCAUGAACGGCUAAAUGAGGGCCCAACUGUCUCCUACAAACAGUCAAUGAACCUGAACUUUCAGUCAAAAAGCUGAAAUAACACCAUAAGACGAGAAGACCCCGCGGAGCUUUAAAUAGCCCACCUAACUGACCCCACACAGGCUAAGGCCUUAUAAACCACAGACCAAGGCGGCAGAUAUUUUAAGUUGGGGCAACUGAGGAGAAAAACAAAACCUCCAUGAAUAAGGUAAACCCUAUUUCAGGCCGACGGGCCACCAAUAAAAUCACCAGACCCAGUCACACUGAACACCGAACCAAGUUACCCCGGGGGUAACAGCGCCAUCCUCUUAAAGAGUCCAUAUCGACAAGAGGGCUUACGACCUCGAUGUUGGAUCAGGAUAGCCUGGCAGUGCAGCCGCCGCCAACGGUUCGUUUGUUCAAC
rnacentral:rRNA from 1 species